GACGAACGCUGGCGGCGUGCUUAACACAUGCAAGUCGAACGGAAAGGCCCUGCUUUUGUUGGGUGCUCGAGUGGCGAACGGGUGAGUAACACGUGAGUAACAUGCCCUUGACUUUGGGAUAACUUCAGGAAACUGGGGCUCAUACCGGAUAGGAGCUCCUGCUGCAUGGUGGGGGUUGGAAAGUUUCGGCGGUUGGGGAUGGACUCGCGGCUUAUCAGCUUGUUGGUGGGGUAGUGGCUUACCAAGGCUUUGACGGGUAGCCGGCCUGAGAGGGUGACCGGGCACAUUAGGACUGAGAUACGGCCCAGACUCCUACGGGAGGCAGCAGUGGGGAAUAUUGCACAAUGGGCGGAAGCCUGAGGCAGCAACGCCGCGUGCGUGAUGACGGCCUUCGGGUUGUAAACCGCUUUCGCCUGUGACGAAGCGUGAGUGACGGUAAUGGGUAAAGAAGCACCGGCUAACUACGUG
rnacentral:rRNA from 1 species